rnacentral:rRNA from 1 species
AUGCUUCCCCGGAAGCGGGAGAUCGUCGCCGGCGAGGUCGAGGACUUGCAGAAGAAGACCCGCGCCGGGGAGGGGGAGGCCACCAGGGAGGAAGGAGACGCAGCCAUGGCAGGGAGGGGGAACGAGAUCGACGAGGACCUGCACAGUCGCCAGCUCGCCGUCUAUGGCCGCGAGACCAUGAAGCGCCUCUUCGGUUCCAACGUCCUCGUCUCUGGACUCCAGGGUCUCGGUGCUGAGAUCGCAAAGAACCUUGUCCUUGCGGGUGUCAAGUCUGUAACCUUGCAUGAUGAUGGUAAUGUGGAGCUGUGGGACUUAUCAAGCAACUUCUUCCUCUCGGAGAAUGAUGUUGGGCAAAACCGUGCUCAAGCUUGUGUACAGAAGCUACAAGAGCUGAACAAUGCUGUCCUCGUCUCUGCCUUAACCGGUGAUUUGACCAAGGAGCACCUUUCUAAAUUCCAGGCCGUUGUCUUCACUGAUAUCAGCUUAGAUAAAGCAAUUGAAUUUGAUGAUUACUGCCACAGCCACCAGCCACCCAUUGCUUUCAUCAAGUCUGAAGUUCGUGGUCUUUUUGGCAGUGUGUUUUGUGACUUCGGUCCUGAAUUUACUGUUUUGGAUGUGGAUGGUGAGGAACCACAUACAGGAAUUGUUGCAUCAAUCAGCAAUGACAAUCCAGCACUUGUAUCUUGUGUGGACGAUGAGCGUCUGGAGUUCCAGGAUGGUGAUCUAGUUGUUUUCUCUGAAGUCCAUGGAAUGACUGAGCUGAAUGAUGGAAAACCAAGAAAAGUUAAGAAUGCAAGGCCUUACUCUUUCUUCUUGGAAGAAGACACUUCCUCAUUUGGCGCAUACGUUAGAGGUGGUAUCGUCACACAGGUCAAGCCACCGAAGGUUAUUAAAUUCAAACCCUUGAAAGAGGCCAUGUCAGAGCCGGGAGAAUUUCUCAUGAGUGAUUUCUCCAAAUUUGAGCGGCCACCUCUUCUGCAUUUGGCAUUCCAAGCUUUGGAUAAGUUUAGGACUGAGUUGAGCAGAUUCCCUGUUGCUGGGUCCACUGAUGAUGUGCAAAGGGUGAUAGAGUAUGCUAUUAGCAUUAAUGGUACUCUGGGAGAUAGGAAACUUGAAGAAAUUGACAAAAAGCUCCUGCAUCAUUUUGCCAGUGGUUCCAGGGCUGUUCUGAAUCCUAUGGCUGCGAUGUUUGGUGGUAUUGUGGGUCAGGAGGUAGUGAAAGCUUGCUCAGGGAAAUUUCAUCCACUUUAUCAGUUCUUCUAUUUUGAUUCUGUCGAGUCUCUCCCUGUUGACCCCUUGGAGCCUGGUGAUUUGAAGCCGAAGAACAGUAGAUAUGAUGCUCAAAUCAGCGUAUUUGGAUCUAAGCUUCAAAACAAACUGGAGGCAGCAAAAAUCUUUAUGGUCGGUUCUGGGGCACUUGGAUGUGAGUUCUUGAAGAACCUGGCACUAAUGGGUAUUUCUUGCAGCCAGAAUGGAAAUCUGACUGUGACAGAUGAUGAUGUCAUUGAAAAGAGUAAUCUGAGCCGCCAAUUUCUUUUCCGUGACUGGAACAUUGGGCAACCUAAGUCCACAGUUGCUGCUACAGCUGCUAUGGUAAUUAAUCCUAAACUUCAUGUCGAGGCCCUCCAGAACAGAGCAAGUCCUGAGACUGAAAAUGUGUUUAAUGAUGCCUUCUGGGAGAACCUUGAUGCUGUUGUCAAUGCCCUUGACAAUGUUACUGCAAGAAUGUACAUAGACUCCAGAUGUGUAUAUUUCCAGAAGCCACUUUUGGAAUCUGGGACUCUGGGUGCUAAAUGCAAUACACAGAUGGUCAUCCCUCACCUAACAGAGAACUAUGGGGCUUCAAGGGAUCCACCUGAAAAGCAGGCACCUAUGUGCACUGUACAUUCAUUUCCUCAUAACAUUGAUCAUUGCCUAACCUGGGCUAGGUCUGAGUUUGAGGGUUUACUUGAGAAGACUCCCACUGAAGUAAAUGCUUUCCUGUCAAAUCCUACUACAUACAUAAGUGCAGCAAGAACUGCUGGUGAUGCACAGGCUAGAGAUCAGCUUGAACGUGUUAUUGAGUGUCUUGACAGAGACAAGUGCGAGACGUUCCAGGAUUCUAUUACCUGGGCCCGGCUUAAGUUUGAGGAUUACUUCUCCAACCGUGUGAAGCAGCUGACGUUCACUUUCCCAGAAGACUCAGUGACCAGCUCUGGUGCUCCUUUCUGGUCUGCGCCAAAGCGGUUCCCACGACCUGUGGACUUCUCGUCCAGUGAUCCAAGUCAGCUUAGCUUUAUUUUGGCUGCUGCAAUAUUGAGGGCAGAAACUUUUGGAAUACCCAUACCUGAGUGGGCCAAAACCCCAAACAAGCUGGCUGCUGAAGCUGUCGACAAGGUGAUUGUCCCGGAUUUCCAACCAAAGCAGGGGGUCAAGAUAGUUACAGAUGAGAAGGCCACUAGUCUAUCCUCUGCAUCUGUUGAUGACGCUGCUGUCAUUGAAGAGCUUAUUGCCAAGUUAGAAGAAGUUUCCAAAACACUGCCAUCAGGGUUCCACAUGAACCCAAUACAGUUUGAGAAGGAUGAUGACACAAACUUCCAUAUGGAUGUGAUAGCUGGUUUUGCCAACAUGAGGGCAAGGAACUACAGCAUUCCUGAAGUGGACAAGCUAAAAGCCAAGUUUAUAGCCGGCAGGAUCAUCCCAGCUAUCGCCACCUCGACCGCAAUGGCCACUGGCCUCGUCUGCCUUGAGCUUUACAAAGCCCUUGCUGGUGGACACAAGGUGGAAGACUACCGCAACACGUUUGCAAACCUCGCGAUUCCUCUCUUCUCCAUUGCUGAGCCGGUUCCACCCAAGACCAUCAAGCACCAGGAGCUGUCGUGGACGGUCUGGGACCGGUGGACUGUGACGGGCAACAUCACGCUGAGGGAGCUCCUGGAGUGGCUCAAGGAGAAGGGCCUGAACGCUUACAGCAUAUCCUGUGGCACCUCGCUGCUCUACAACUCCAUGUUCCCCAGGCACAAGGAACGGCUUGACAGGAAGGUAGUUGAUGUUGCCAGGGAGGUGGCCAAGAUGGAGGUGCCCUCUUACCGGCGUCAUCUCGACGUCGUGGUGGCGUGUGAGGAUGACGACGACAAUGAUGUCGACAUCCCACUUGUGUCGGUCUACUUCCGCUGA